rnacentral:rRNA from 3 species
ACGGCGAGUGAAGCGGCAAAAGCUCAAAUUUGAAAUCUGGUACCUUCGGUGCCCGAGUUGUAAUUUGGAGAGGGCAACUUUGGGGCCGUUCCUUGUCUAUGUUCCUUGGAACAGGACGUCAUAGAGGGUGAGAAUCCCGUGUGGCGAGGAGUGCGGUUCUUUGUAAAGUGCCUUCGAAGAGUCGAGUUGUUUGGGAAUGCAGCUCUAAGUGGGUGGUAAAUUCCAUCUAAAGCUAAAUAUUGGCGAGAGACCGAUAGCGAACAAGUACAGUGAUGGAAAGAUGAAAAGAACUUUGAAAAGAGAGUGAAAAAGUACGUGAAAUUGUUGAAAGGGAAGGGCAUUUGAUCAGACAUGGUGUUUUGUGCCCUCUGCUCCUUGUGGGUAGGGGAAUCUCGCAUUUCACUGGGCCAGCAUCAGUUUUGGUGGCAGGAUAAAUCCAUAGGAAUGUAGCUUGCCUCGGUAAGUAUUAUAGCCUGUGGGAAUACUGCCAGCUGGGACUGAGGACUGCGACGUAAGUCAAGGAUGCUGGCAUAAUGGUUAUAUGCCGCCCGUCUUGAA